UACAGAGGGGGCAAGCGUUAUUCGGAAUUAUUGGGCGUAAAGGGCUCGUAGGCGGCCAACUAAGUCAGACGUGAAAUCCCUCGGCUUAACCGGGGAACUGCGUCUGAUACUGGAUGGCUAGAGGUUGGGAGAGGGAUGCGGAAUUCCAGGUGUAGCGGUGAAAUGCGCAGAUAUCAGGAGGAACACCGAUGGCGAAGGCAGGUCUCUGGGCCACUACUGACGCUGAGAAGCGAAAGCAUGGGGAGCGAACAGG
rnacentral:rRNA from 1 species